rnacentral:rRNA from 1 species
GUUUGAUCCUGGCUCAGAUUGAACGCUGGCGGCAUGCCUUACACAUGCAAGUCGAACGGUAACGCGGGGGCAACCCUGGCGACGAGUGGCGAACGGGUGAGUAAUACAUCGGAACAUAUCCAGUAGCGGGGGAUAACCUAUCGAAAGAUGGACUAAUACCGCAUACGAUCUACGGAUGAAAGCAGGGGACCGCAAGGCCUUGCACUAUUGGAGUGGCCGAUGUCGGAUUAGCUAGUUGGUGGGGUAAAAGCUUACCAAGGCGACGAUCCGUAGCCGGUCUGAGAGGACGAUCAGCCACACUGGAACUGAGACACGGUCCAGACUCCUACGGGAGGCAGCAGUGGGGAAUUUUGGACAAUGGGCGCAAGCCUGAUCCAGCCAUGCCGCGUGAGUGAAGAAGGCCUUCGGGUUGUAAAGCUCUUUCGGUGAAGACGAAACCGUUCAUGCUAAUAACGUGAACUAAUGACGGUACUCACAGAAGAAGCACCGGCUAACUACGUGCCAGCAGCCGCGGUAAUACGUAGGGUGCAGGCGUUAAUCGGAAUUACUGGGCGUAAAGCGUGCGCAGGCGGUUUGCUAAGACAGGUGUGAAAUCCCCGGGCUUAACCUGGGAAUUGCGCUUGUAACUGGCAAGCUAGAGUGUGGCAGAGGGGGGUGGAAUUCCACGUGUAGCAGUGAAAUGCGUAGAUAUGUGGAGGAACACCGAUGGCGAAGGCAGCCCCCUGGGUUAACACUGACGCUCAUGCACGAAAGCGUGGGGAGCAAACAGGAUUAGAUACCCUGGUAGUCCACGCCCUAAACUCUGUCAACUAGUUGUCGGGGAAGAAAUUCCUUGGUAACGAAGCUAACGCGUGAAGUUGACCGCCUGGGGAGUACNGCCGCAAGGUUAAAACUCAAAGGAAUUGACGGGGACCCGCACAAGCGGUGGAUUAUGUGGAUUAAUUCGAUGCAACGCGAAAAACCUUACCUACCCUUGACAUGCUAGCAAGCCCGCAGAGAUGUGGGUGUGCCCGAAAGGGAACCUAGACACAGGUGCUGCAUGGCUGUCGUCAGCUCGUGUCGUGAGAUGUUGGGUUAAGUCCCGCAACGAGCGCAACCCUUGCCAUUAGUUGCUACAUUCAGUUGGGCACUCUAAUGGGACCGCAGGUGACAAACCGGAGGAAGGUGGGGAUGACGUCAAGUCCUCAUGGCCCUUAUGGGUAGGGCUUCACACGUAAUACAAUGGUCGGUACAGAGGGCUGCCAACCCGCAAGGGGGAGCUAAUCCCAGAAAGCCGAUCGUAGUCCGGAUUGUAGUCUGCAACUCGACUGCAUGAAGC